CCGCAGCGGCGCUCUCAAAUCCCUAGAACCAGCUGCGCUUGGAGAUUGAAUCACCAGCCAUGGCAACAGGUUCGCGACAUUCUCGAUUCGCAAGUAUACUCAGGCCUUUAUCACUACCAGUGUCAUUCCUGCCUUCGUCGGUUCAUCCUCACUCCCUCAGAUCCCUUUUGCCUUUGGCAGGGAAAGCAGUGAAGCGCUGCGGCGACCGGCGACCUACCGCAAGGUGCAAGCUAUGCCGGAGGCCGGAGCACCACGACUGCACAUCUCCACGGUCUGCUGUUAGCUGACGACAAGCAACUAGAGAUGCAUCUCUCAGCGAGUUUUAAAUUGGUCUUCUCAGUUAGUAGCAAUGGCAGACCGUCAGAGGAAACUUAGCCAAGCAGGUAAUUUCAGAAUAAUUUGAUAGCUAGUGAUUUGGUUCAUUCGUUUCAUUUAGCGUUUAAUUGAUGUUAUAAUUCUGAAAUUUGAUUCAGGGAUGAGGCGUUUUUUGGUUGAUACGAGGAAUCAAGGCACUGGAAUUGAUGAAUCCGAAAGAAACUCAAACUUGGAAGAGCCACGUGAUGGUGUGCCAAAUCCAGAUCAGCAACAACCAAGUAUCGGCAAUGUAACUA
rnacentral:lncRNA from 1 species